rnacentral:rRNA from 1 species
AACGUAGGAGACGAACGUUAUCCGGAGUUACUGGCGUAAAGGGCGUGCAGGCGGCUUGAUAAGUUCGGCGUGAAAUUUCCCGGCUUAACCGGGGAUGUCGUCGGAGACUGUCGAGCUAGAGGUGAUAGAGGCGUGUGGAAUUCCUGGUGUAGCGGUGAAAUGCGCAGAUAUCAGGAGGAACACCGGUGGCGAAGGCGGAUCUCUGGGCUUGUCCUGACGCUCGAGGCGCGAAAAGCUAGGGGAGCAAACAGG